rnacentral:rRNA from 1 species
AGCUUGCUCCCUUAGGUCAGCGGCGGACGGGUGAGUAACACGUGGGUAACCUGCCUGUAAGACUGGGAUAACUCCGGGAAACCGGGGCUAAUACCGGAUGCUUGAUUGAACCGCAUGGUUCAAUCAUAAAAGGUGGCUUUUAGCUACCACUUACAGAUGGACCCGCGGCGCAUUAGCUAGUUGGUGAGGUAACGGCUCACCAAGGCGACGAUGCGUAGCCCACCUGAGAGGGUGAUCGGCCACACUGGGACUGAAACACGGCCCAGACUCCUACGGGAGGCAGCAGUAGGGAAUCUUCCGCAAUGGACGAAAGUCUGACGGAACAACGCCCCGUGAGUGAUGAAGGUUUUCGGAUCGUAAAACUCUGUUGUUAGGGAAGAA